rnacentral:lncRNA from 1 species
ACAUUAAGUCGACCGUUUGAUCGAAAGCUUUGAAACUUAAAGGCACCUGUAAUUUACGAACCCAUUCAACUUUUUGUUACGAGCCUUAAUAAGAAGCAUCUGAAUUGGAAGGAUUAAAUCACUACCUCUGCGUUGUCUUCCGCGUUCCAUAAUUGCAACAAAAUAACUUCGAUGUCCCGACCGUACGCAGCACCGAACAAGAUCAGCAACGCGAUUUCUAACGCGAAGGCCAUAUUACACGCUUUGAAAUUCAAGUUCAAGUACUUAGAAGAACAACAAACUUGUUCUUUAUAUAUGCAUAUAGAUGCGUGUGGGUGCAUACGCGUUGCGAAACCCGUAUACCGCGUUUAUCUUUACAAAAACAUACACAAUGCAAUAUGCAUGCUGGCACCUGUAUCACAAAUGUCAUUGACAUCGAGAUUUGAAUGAAUCAAGUAAUAACAACGGUUUUACAUUAGCAUAUAUCGCGCGCAGGAAACGGAAUUCAUAGAGGGACAGUUUUGUUUCAUGAAAUAAAAAAAGUGUCGAAGAAAAAGGAUCUAAUAUUUUAUGGGUCUAUAGUACUCAUCCAGAGGAGUAAAAAAUGCAGUCAACGUUAAGCUUGAAAAUCAAUAUUUUAUAAAUCUGACUGCAUUGUUUAUGGUUGACGAAGUUGUGUUAUGAAUAGACUAUGGAUUUUUAUGUUAUAUUGAAAUUUGCAGUGUACGGAAAUCUGUAAUCUAAUUAUCAGGAAGAUACAUGUUAUGCUUGUGCCAGUUAAUAACAAUUUUCUAGCCAGACGCGAUGCAACCUUAUAAAUAGAAGAUAAAUUUGUGUUUCUAUUUCAUUAAUUUAUGCCUAUCUACUGCUUAUAAAAUUAAGGGCAAAACUCUUUAGUUAGAAGUUAUAUUUCUAGUUUUUGAAUCUACGACGUUGAUUAUAAUCACUUAUUACGCCUCUGGGUUAAUGCUGUAAGUCCUUUAAAUUUUAGAUCCUUUUCUUUUAACAUCUUAUAUACUUAUUUCAGUACGACAAUAUCAGUAUCGUGGAACAAUUAAAAAUUUACUAAAUCAAGAUAAAAAUGUGGUAUAUUUUAAUGCAUUAUUGAUUACUCGAUGUACAAAACAGAUACUGGUACGAAAUAUAAUCUGUUCAGGUAGAACUUUGUACUUUGUUGCAUUAUAUCUACAAGAUUCUGUUUACAUCUGCUUGUCGAUUCUAUAAAAUCGUAUUACCAUAAUUUCUAUUGUAUAUGUCUCAACCAUUAUUCGCUCACGCAACAAAUGAACGAAUGAGUACUACAAACGUGCUAGCGUUUCCUUUUUUUCAGCUAUCGUUUACAAAAAAGUAUUGCAUAGACAACGAUUAACGCAUUGAGGCAACAUGAUUAAUAAAAUUUCUCUUCCAAUAAUUCACGCUUAGAAAAACGUAUCUACUAUUUCAUACUCUGCUUCCUUUCGUAAUUCCGGUACAUUAAUUAUUUUCACGGUAUCUCGCGUGAUCCUAUAAGAUUUCGUAAUCCAGAUGUUUAAAAUGAAUCGCAAAUGGAAGGUAGGAAUGAAAGAGAUAAUAUGCUUGUUACAAAAAACCUUAGUAUUAAAAUAUUUCAAUAAAAACAAUAAAUAAUAAUUAUGAUCAAUAAUAAAAUUAAUAGAAGAUUCGGCAGUGUAUGUAACACGCUAAACUUGGCAGAUGCCUACAUAUCGUUAUUCAUUAUAUGUAUUUAAUGUAUAAGGGGAUUAUUAAAUAAUUCGACAACUAAUUACAAUAAUUAUACGGCGAGCGUUUGAUUUCCUUUUCCGUUCUUUUUUUUUACAGAAUUAACUCACGACACUUUUGCUCGGCUUUUCUCUUUACAACUUUUUGCACUAUAUACGACACAAUGAUUAAAAAAAAAAAGAACUUUUUUUUAUACAUCGCAAACGCACGCAUAUUUCAUCAAGUCGCGUUUUAUCUAUUUACAAAUUGUCUCAAAUUUACCAGCGAUAUCUGUUAAAUCCGAUCGAACUGCUGGAAAAUUUCCUAUUCAACACUCGUAGAGAGAUUAUUAUUCUUUGGAUAUUCUGCACAACUCUUACAAAUUCGUGAGUAAAUUUGUGCAAACAAAAGAGAGAAAGAAAAAAAGAACGAAUUAAAUUUAACUUCCAGUUAGUGAAAUGACUAUUUUUUCGCUGUCUGUCGUCAUACAAUUCAUGAGCAACAGUGAACACUUCGAUAUGCAUCUUCCAGAAACAAUCGGAAGAUACAUGGAGCCGCGUAUAAAAUUUGCAGCGGAUAUUUGCUACGAACACACGUAGGUUUUGGUAGCUUCUUUUCUUUUUUGUUUAUCAGCUAACGUUCUUUUGUGACAUCCAUAAUACACGAUACAUCCCUUUACACGACAUUUUGCUUUUUCUUCUACUACACUUAACAUGUAAUAGCGUUGAUAUAACUAGGAUUUUUAAUUGGGGUGAGUUAGACCUUUUACACUUUCCAUUAAUGACCUGUAUCAAGUAUAAGUGAUUUGGAAAUCUGAGGAUUUUGAAGCUUACAAAUUUAGAAAGUUGAAUACUUUUAGUUUUUGAUAAAAGUUAAACCUGAGGAAGACCAAACUCACCUUUAUUUGAACCUAGUUAAAUUAAUGUGUAAUAGACAUGUACCAUAAUUAUUACAGAUGCACGAUUACAAACCGUUUAAUAAUUGUAUUCCUUUCACGGAAUAUAAUCUCUAUGGUAUCAGCAUAUAUUUCUGAAGGCAAACACAUUCUCACCGUACGUCAUAUAUCAAAUUGAUAAUAAUUACUCUAAAUUUUUUUCACCAAAAAGUGUAAUUGCUAAUAAUAUUUAAUUGAAAUACUUACCGGUGAGUAAUGUAUAAUAGUGUUUUGUUUGUCAACCUUCUCAAUAUACGUGUGUAUACGGUUAAAUAUUAAUUAGAUUUUUAAUGAUCGAAAUAUAACUUUAAUUUCGCGAUACAUUUAGCCUCGCACUGAUCAUGUGUUAAAUAAAUACAAUUUCUACUAGUGAAAUAAAACGAAACAAAAUUUUUCGUUUAAUGUCAAACGAGAGAUGAAAAAUGAUGUUUGAAUUGAUUGCUUGUUUGAAUAAAGGUGUAAGUGUAAUGUACUGUAAUCAUUAGCGUAACUGUAAUAUUUUUCUAAGAAGAAACACGCUUAAAUCGUAAUUAUCCAUUGUUAUAUCCAUUGAGAGGGGUCAGGCCGACCCUGGCCUCUAAUCAGUUACGCUAAUGACUACAACGUUGUACUUGUUUCGACAAUGAAGGAUUAUUUUAACACCACACUACACAACGAAUAAAAGAAAUAACAUGUCUUG